UCAGGUGUGUGCUGACUGGAGGCUGCUGGCCAGGGAAGCGGGAAGGAAGUGGGCUCUUCAGAGGUGGUGUAUCCAUCCUCUGUAGUUGGUUAGGGCACUUAGUUCACUCUCUCCAGUCGGGGCUGAUUGCAGAGUUCUAACUUUAUAUGUGGUCUGGCCAUUGUCCAUGUGUAUAUUCAGUCUCUCCCAAGCUAGUCAUCUGGUAAGUGACCAGCAAGCUUUAGUUACUCAAUACAAAGAAACCAAACCAGCAUUAGAUGGGGAGGAGAGUUCUAUCUGGAGAUGUAACACUGUGAUGGUGGAAGCAGUCCCAAAGAAUGAUAGCCUGUGAUACCAUGCUUGGGGGUGUGGUCUUCCAGUCUCAUCAGAAAAAGUACAGAGCUCAGAGCAGAGAGAAUCACAUGGAAGCAACUCUCUCCUAGACUCUCCUAGAUGUUAGGUCUCUGAGAUCACAGUAAUGCAGUCAGCAAUGAAAGCUACCUGGUUAAUUAGAGAAACCCAGCUCCAUUGGUGUAAGAGAGAAGUCUGGGCUGCUGAGUGUCUGAUGGGACAAAUCCUUCCAACGGCCGCAGCAGGUGCUUCUUCUAGCCCUGUGUUGCAACGACCUGCAGCUCCUGGGGAUAACUCAGGAACGCUGCUGACGCCAUCAGGAGGCUCAACACCCUCACCCGCUUACGCUACGACCAGCAAAAGCAAACCCCACAGCUGCCUGCCAGCCGGGAAGAAGGACUAUGUUUCCAUGUUGUGAAUCUCCUCAUUGUAGCCAGAUGAUGAAUUUGCUGCUGGCUUUGUGCGAAACUGAGAAAUACCCAGCGUCCAACUGAGGGCCGGGGAGGUAACAAAAUCAAACUGAUGAAUUAAAGAAAUAUUGCCUGGUCAGGAUGCCUGGAGGCCUCAGAGUUCUGAUCUUUCUUCUGAGUUACUACAUCUUCUGGACUGUUCCUAGGGUGGUGUUUGUGAUAAGUUGGUUUGCCCAGUAAAACUGUCACCCAGUCAAGGUAAGCCCUACCUCCUGCGCUUUCUCACGCAGUGGCGUGGAGCGUGGUAGGGAAGAAAGGGCAUUUGACAGCAAGUCGAAAACUUUGGACUUCAUUCGUGGCUGUGAUGUAGGAGUUGGAGUCAGUGGCUCAGUGUUGGGAGCGUCUCAUUUCUCUCCGACUCCAUAGGCUGUGACAUCACCCACAGCUUUGAUUUGUGUGUCCAAACUCAUCCCUGCACUUUCUCUUCAGAAUCUGGCUAACACUUCAAGUUCCUCACCAGCUUCCAGAACUAUGGUUAGCUCAGACUCAGUCACAGCUUCCCCAAACUGUCAUCCUACUGUUUUUAUCUUACGGUUGAAGGAACUGAAUCCCAGGCAGUCUGAGCAGCCCAUUUAGAAUCACACCACAGAUUUCCUCACCCCUGUCCCGCACCACAGAGCCUUCCCAUUUUUACAUGUCUUUUAUAUUAACACAAAACCAAAAACUCAUAAUGAAGGCAGUAGUGUAGAAACCUGAAAGUUAUUUUGUUAUAAAAGUUCACUGUGAACCAGGAUUUAGAAAAUGCAAACCCUCGGGUAAAAUGAAGUGUUUUCGGGAGACUCACCAGCAGGAUCCCUGCCCCCAAUUCUGAGAAUGUGACCAUGAGGACAAGAGGCCCGACUGGUCACCCCAGGCCAGGCCAUCUCUCUGACAGCCUGGAUUUUCCCUGCAUGCCCCCAGAUCCAUCCUAAUCAUGCAGCUCAGGCGCUGAGAGCUACUGAUCAGAUGUCGGCAGGUCAUCUAAAUCCAUAGGCACGGAGCAGCCGCUCUACUUUGCCUGGCAGAGCUGCAGCUGGCACCUGCAGACACCACCCAAGAGACAUUUCUGCAGUGGCUGAAGUGUCCGGAAUCUCUACUCCUGGAGCAGUGGCGAGUGAGCACAGGUGGCUGUGGAGACUUAAAAUGGGGCUAGUGCAAGUAGGAAACUGCAUUUGCAAGUUUAUGUCAUUCUAACUGGUUUAAAGUUUAUGUGGCCACAUGUGGUUAGCAUCUAAUGGAUUGGACGACACAGUUAGAAAAGCCCCUCGCCUGGGCACUGCCAGCUGCAGGCACAUUCCUAACCGAAGACGUACUGCUUGUUCCUCUGGGUAUGCGGGCUGCAGUCUCAGUGUCUGCUCACCCGUGUGGACACGCCUGCCUUUGCCAGCGCAUCACUCAGCUGCCCCUUCCACACACACACAUGCACCCCAUUCACCUUAACUUUGUGCGUCCAAGUCUUUUCUUGGCCUCACCUGCAGUCUUGAUGCCCCAAGUAGAAAUCUUUGCAUGUUGAGUGAGGGGCCUGUGGGCAGCAAACCGCAUUCUCCUUACUCUGCGAUCGUCAAGGAGUCACCCCUGCCACUCUUCUCCCUCUGACCUCAGCGAGAGCACCGCUCAGCAAUUUGCCUAACUGAGAAUCCACAGCUCCCCGGUCCUGUCUGGCUCCCUGCCUUGGAAGCAAUGUUCUCACAUCUUCCUCCACCCAGGCAGCUGCUGGCAUCUCCACAGCUCCCUCUCUCCGCGGCUGAAGUCAGGGCCCACAGAUGGUGCCCCCAUUUUCCUCCGCAGCUCGGCUUACCGCAUUUACAGGGGUGGCAGAAGCCAGUGAGAAUGAAUAUUAAAUUACCUAAGGCAGAACUUCUCAAAAUACACUCCUCAAAACA